rnacentral:rRNA from 1 species
UAGGGAAUCUUCCACAAUGGACGCAAGUCUGAUGGAGCAACGCCGCGUGAGUGAAGAAGGCUUUCGGGUCGUAAAACUCUGUUAUUGAAGAAGAACGUGUGUGACAGUAACUGGUCAUGCAGUGACGGUAUUCAAUCAGAAAGUCACGGCUAACUACGUGCCAGCAGCCGCGGUAAUACGUAGGUGGCAAGCGUUGUCUGGAUUUAUUGGGCGUAAAGCGAGUGCAGGCGGUCUUUUAAGUCUGAUGUGAAAGCCUUCGGCUUAACCGAAGAAGGGCAUC